rnacentral:misc_RNA from 1 species
GGAUGAAGAACGUAGUGAAAUGCGAUACUUGGUGUGAAUUGCAGAAUCCCGUGAACCAUCGAGUCUUUGAACGCAAGUUGCGCCCGAAGCCAUUAGGCCGAGGGCACGCCUGCCUGGGCGUCACACGUCGUUGCCCCCCCAUCUACUCCUUCGGGAUUGCGGGGGGCGGAUGAUGGCCUCUCGUGCGCCUCGUCGCGCGGUUGGCCUAAAUGCCAAGUCCUCGGCGACGCACGCCACGACAAUCGGUGGUUGCGAAACCUCGGUUGCCUGUCGUGUGCGGUCGUCGCGCAUCGAGGGCUCGAAAAAAUUGCCGGGCUUCGGCUCGACUUUCAACGCGACCCCAGGUCAGGCGGGGUUACCCGCUGAAUUUAAGCAUAUCAAUAAGCGGAGGA